GAUGAACGCUGGCGGCGUGCUUAACACAUGCAAGUCGAACGGAAAGGCCCUAGCUUGCUGGGGUACUCGAGUGGCGAACGGGUGAGUAACACGUGGGUGAUCUGCCCUGCACUUUGGGAUAAGCUUGGGAAACUGGGUCUAAUACCGAAUAUGACCACUUCUGGGAUGUUGUGGUGGAAAGCUUUUGCGGUGUGGGAUGAGCCUGGGGCCUAUCAGCUUGUUGGUGGGGUAAUGGCCUACCAAGGCGGCGACGGGUAUCCGGCCUGAGAGGGUGUACGGACACAUUGGGACUGAGAUACGGCCCAGACUCCUACGGGAGGCAGCAGUGGGGAAUAUUGCACAAUGGGCGCAAGCCUGAUGCAGCGACGCCGCGUGGGGGAUGAAGGCCUUCGGGUUGUAAACUCCUUUCGCUAUCGACGAAGCCACUUGUGGUGACGGUAGGUAGAUAAGAAGCACCGGCUAACUACGUGCCAGCAGCCGCGGUAA
rnacentral:rRNA from 1 species